GUGCUUUGGCAGCACUUAUACUAAAGUUAGAACAAUACAGAGAAGAUCAGCAUGGCCCCUGCGCAAGGAUGACACGCAGAUUCGUGAAGCGUUCCGUAUUUUG
ensembl:snRNA U6 U6 spliceosomal RNA